UCCCGUGUGGCUCAGUUGGUAGAGCAUGGUGUUUGCAACGCCAGGGUUGUGGGUUCGAUUCCCACGGGGGAA
rfam:Salmo salar isolate Sally breed double haploid chromosome ssa05, whole genome shotgun sequence.